rnacentral:rRNA from 1 species
GAUGAACGCUGGCGGCGUGCCUAAUACAUGCAAGUCGAGCGAACGGACGAGAAGCUUGCGUCUCUGAUGUUAGCGGCGGACGGGCGAGUAAGACGUGGAUAACCUACCUAUAAGACUGGGAUAACUUCGGGAAACCGUAGCCAAUACCGGAUAAUAUUUUGAACCGCAUGGUGCAAAAGUGAAAGACGGUUUUGCUGUCACAUAUAGAUGGAUCCGCGCUGCAUUAGCUAGUUGGUAAGGUAACGGCUUACCAAGGCAACGAUGCAUAGCCGACCUGAGAGGGUGAUCGGCCACACUGGAACUGAGACACGGUCCAGACUCCUACGGGAGGCAGCAGUAGGGAAUCUUCCGCAAUGGGCGAAAGCCUGACGGAGCAACGCCGCGUGAGUGAUGAAGGUCUUCGGGUCGUAAAGCUCUGUUAUUAGGGAAGAACAUAUGUGUAAGUAUCUGUGCACAUCUUGACGGUACCUAAUCAGAAAGCCCCGGCUAACUACGUG